AAAUUGAAGAGUUUGAUCAUGGCUCAGAUUGAACGCUGGCGGCAGGCCUAACACAUGCAAGUCGAGCGGAAACGAGUUAUCUGAACCUUCGGGGAACGAUAACGGCGUCGAGCGGCGGACGGGUGAGUAAUGCCUAGGAAAUUGCCCUGAUGUGGGGGAUAACCAUUGGAAACGAUGGCUAAUACCGCAUGAUGCCUACGGGCCAAAGAGGGGGACCUUCGGGCCUCU
rnacentral:rRNA from 1 species